rnacentral:rRNA from 1 species
UACGUAGGGUGCGAGCGUUAAUCGGAAUUACUGGGCGUAAAGCGCGCGCAGGUGGUCUUUCAAGUCAGUGGUGAAAGCCCGGAGCUCAACUCCGGAAAUGCCAUUGAAACUGUGAGACUUGAGGACGAGAGAGGUGAGUGGAAUUCCCAGUGUAGAGGUGAAAUUCGUAGAUAUUGGGAAGAACACCGGUGGCGAAGGCGGCUCACUGGCUCGUAUCUGACGCUCAGGCGCGACAGCGUGGGGAUCAAACAGG